AUUAUACACACUAUUUCAGUCCUAUAUGUCUACUCUCAGCUUUAAUUUAUGGAUUUCUAUAAAAAAGCUUUCCCUUUGAAGAGAACCUUUGUUUAUAUAUGAGUGCCUAAACCUGUUUCAUUCUGUCUGUCCCCUGAAGGAAAAUACCUCCAGUUCACAAAUACUGUAGAACUGAGAGUGCCCCUCCAUUCCUUUUCUCUGCAGACCCCAUGGGAAGCCCACUGAGUUGGACGUCUGGAAAUUGAUUUCACCCUCCAUGGCUAUGCAAACCACCUGUGGUGCCCUUUGAUGGCAGAUGAGUUUUAAGAGAAUCCCAAAGAGAAUUUUCACUGGCAAGGCAAAACACCUUGUUUCUAUCUGAUAGAGAAGCUUGUGGAGCUUACAGGAGAAAUGGCUUAAGAAGAUUUAAAGUCAGAAGGAAACAACUACACAAGACCAAGGGAAUCUUGCAGCUGUCCAGUUGGAAACAAAUUGUAUGUAAAGACUACCUCAACUAAAAGCCACAGAACAGAUUUUCCUCACUAUUUGACUAUAGGAGGAAAACAGACCUUUAUGGAGCUAAAGAAUCUUGAGAGAGAUGGGAAAUUGACUCUAAGCACCAUCCAUAAAUACCCUAGAGUCUGCUACUGAAUUCAUGGAUUGGAUUAAGCUACAAUCAAGAACGAGUAUAGUAGCGAUAGGAGUCUGUGUGUAAGUAAAUCAAUAAAUAGACAAAACAUCUGUGGUUUGUAUA
ensembl:lncRNA